GACGAACGCUGGCGGCGUGCCUAAUACAUGCAAGUCGAGCGAAGUUUUUCUGGUGCUUGCACUAGAAAAACUUAGCGGCGAACGGGUGAGUAACACGUAAAGAACCUGCCUCAUAGACUGGGACAACUAUUGGAAACGAUAGCUAAUACCGGAUAACAGUAUUUCUCGCAUGAGAGAUAUUUAAAAGUUGGUUAUGCUAACACUAUGAGAUGGCUUUGCGGUGCAUUAGCUAGUUGGUGGGGUAAAGGCCCACCAAGGCGACGAUGCAUAGCCGACCUGAGAGGGUGAUCGGCCACACUGGGACUGAGACACGGCCCAGACUCCUACGGGAGGCAGCAGUAGGGAAUCUUCCGCAAUGGGCGAAAGCCUGACGGAGCAACGCCGCGUGAGUGAAGAAGGAUUUCGGUUCGUAAAGCUCUGUUGUUAGGGAAGAAUGGAUAUGUAGUAACUAUACAUAUAAG
rnacentral:rRNA from 1 species